UCUCUGGAAGACUAGUGGCUAGGCCUCAGUGCUCUCGCUGCUGCAACCCGGGUUCGGUUCCUGGCCAGGGAA
rnacentral:tRNA from 1 species